UUCCUGAAACUUGAGCAAAGAUUUGGGUGA
rnacentral:piRNA from 1 species